UCGGCACCGGGGCCCGACGGCCUGCCAGUUGCCUUCUUCCGGAAUUUCUGGAAUGUCCUAAAGCCAGUGAUCAUGCCGAUGUUUCAUGAAUUCUAUAUUGAAACAUUUGACAUGUCACGGAUAAACUUUGGAGUCAUCACCAUGAUCCAUAAAGUAGUUGGGGCGACGGACAUUAGGCACUUCAGGCCAAUCACAGUUAUCAACGUUCUCGAGCGCAUUUUCUCAAAAGUCUGCGCGACUAGAUUAGCACCGGUCGCUGAGCGGCUGGAUCACCCCUUUCAUACGGCAUUUCUGUAGGGACAACGGAUUCAGGACGGGAUCAUGGCCUUUCAUGAGAUUGACCACGAGGUGCGGACGCGCGGAUAUAAGGGUGUCUUUCUCAAGCUGGAUUUUCAAAAAGCCUAUGAUAGGUUGGACUAG
rnacentral:rRNA from 1 species